UUAUCUUGGCCGCUUUCGUUUUCCUCCGCCGCCAUUUCUUCCGUCGCCACCUCCUUGUCUUCCUACCUUGUCCACGAGAUCGUGAGCCCACAUCCAUAGCCCCCGAGCGUCAAAAGCUCGAAGAGAUCCGCGAUGGAGAAACCCACAGACUCCGGAAAGGGGAAGAGGAAAAAGCAUGAAGAUGAAAAGUCGGAGAGCACAUCAUGGCCGAAAAGUAAGUUCUCCGCUGAACAUAUGAGAGCUCAUGGAACACAGAUUGUUGUUGCAUGCAGAGGGGGAAUGCCCAUGGCGGAGUGCUGAGGGUGAGGAUUUUCCCGCCCCUAGGGAUUCUGAGAUUGUUUUGUUUGCCUCUUUUCUUGAACAUAGGCUUUCAAUGCCUAUGAGCGGGUUUGUGGAGGGGCUUCUUUAUUAUUAUAUGAUCCAACUCCAUCACCUCACUCCAGCAUCUAUACUACACAUUUCUGUGUUUGCACACUUCUGCGAGGCCUUCCUUGGUAUUGAGCUGCACUUCGACUUCUUCAAGGCUCUCUAUAGACUUGUGCCCCUUCCCUUUUCUGAAAGAAUGGGUAGGGUAGGUUGCGGUCAUUUGGAGCUAAAUAAGAAGGUAAUCGGGAAGUACUUGAUUUUCCCCAAGAUUGCUCUGAGCCCCCAAUGGCCGAAUGACUGGUUCUACAUUAGAAGUCCCUCGACUAGUCUUUCUCAGUUCAGUGCAGAGCCAGCCGAGUGGCUUAAAAGUUGGUCCCUCGGCUAUUUGCUUUCGGAAGAUGGGUGUAACCGCGGCUUAAGUUGUGUAGAACUACACUCAGCACCAGAUUCAACCACUCCAGAGGCGAGUACAUUUUGGGUUCCAAUACCAAGGGACUGAAGAUGUUGAUCGGUUGUCUACAGAGCCGAUCGACCAUGAAGCUGGUCUCAGAGUGAUUCGAAGCAUCUUCCCGCCACACUGUUCCUUAUGUGCCCAUGCUUUUCCAAGCGACUAACCCUCCCGCGGAGGCUGACGUGAGGGUGUACAAAAGUGAUCCUCCACUUCCUGGGUCCUUAGGCAAGGAUGGUCGGAAUGAUUUCCAUGAAUACCCACUUGGCUAUGGACCUAAAGGCUUCUGUUAUGGAUGACUCCUUGUCCUCUUCCAGCGAGUCUUCUACUAAGGGACGAGGAAGAAAAGGAAGAAUGAAGAUCGAAGGUCUUCAGGUGACUCUGGGUCUCCUGAAGUAGUCACUGGUCAGGGGUCCAGUGGAGAUGUGAUGAGCCCGAGUACUUUGGGUCAUUCCACAGAUCCGACUCCGUUGGACACGACUGCUUCGAGGCCAAAUGUCCCCGCCAAUAGCUCCAGGCGCGUGGAGGGGGUUGAAGGCACCAAAGAAGCUUGUCGUGAAGAGGGCAAAGAUGUAAGUGCACGACUUACUGGGUUUUGUAAUUUCGCCUGGCCUUGUUCUGAUCUUUUAGCUUUUGUAGAUGUGCCGCCGACUUGAAUUCGCCGAAGGUGAAGGCGCGAACUACUCCUGCUCUGAGUAGUCCUGCGUCCGAGAGAAGAGGUCGUCUCCCGAUCCAGUCUUGGCGCCCAUCCACUCGCCUGCACCUAUUGUAAAAAAUGUGGCAGAAGUGCGAGCAGAGGACACACUUUUAGUGCAGGGAGAAGACGCGCCGGCGGUGCAGGCAGGGGAUAUGCUGGCGGUGCCAGCGGGGGACGAAGAUGCUAAAGCCUGCCAAGGAAUUCCUCGAGGGAACCCGCUACCAUGGAGCCGGCUGAAGGGCCGUCUGGGAAUGAGGGUCCUGGGUUCGUUCCUCCAGAGAUGUUAGAUGAGUUCCCGGAUGGGCUCAUUAAUGACGAUCUUCUAGAGGACAACCUUCUAAGGGAGAUGAGGCACUCAUUUAGGCAAGUUUACAAACAUCAUGUGAAACUGACCCGGAGGUCGCAAAUCAAGUCGUCCGAUCUAGCUGUGAUGUCGGAGCAUCUUCAACAGUUUCCUGCACUCAAGCAGGAACUCAUGGAGAAGGAUGACUUGAUUGCCUCGCUCGCAGAGCAAUUGGCUGCAGCUCAGGGUGAGAGAAAUUAGUCCCUUCAAGAUUCUCCGUGACUCCGUGAGUUGAAUGCUGAUCUUGAGGGGUAUAAAAAAAUUGUGGGGCAGCAGCUGGAGCAAGCCGACAAGAAAAUUGUUGAGCAGCUCCAAACCAUCCAACGAACGGCUUACCCGGGACAGAGACCGGAGGGAUCAGGAGAUUCAAGGACUAGAGGAGGCAGGUCGCGCUGUACUGGGGGUAGUGCAACCGCUUCGUCCUAAUCAACAUGAUUCCAGAUCCGUCACGGAAAGGCUCAAAGAAGUUCUCGGGUGGCUGAAGGCCUUUUGGAAGAAGAUGUCGUCAGGAGGGUAGGACUAUUAGGGUGUGAGUAUGUGGGGUUUGCUUAUGUACAUAUUGCUCCCACUUUAAGAACACCUAACAAUUGUAAUCCCAUUUGUGUUGGUGUUGGACCAAUGGUUUUAUCCUCUGAAGAGAGUCGUGCCUCAUUCAUAUCAGGAUUUGUAAUUUUU